rnacentral:rRNA from 1 species
UACGAAGGGGGCUAGCGUUGUUCGGAAUCACUGGGCGUAAAGGGCGCGUAGGCGGCUUUAUAAGUCGGGGGUGAAAGCCUGUGGCUCAACCACAGAAUUGCCUUCGAUACUGUAGAGCUUGAGACCGGAAGAGGUAAGUGGAACUGCGAGUGUAGAGGUGAAAUUCGUAGAUAUUCGCAAGAACACCAGUGGCGAAGGCGGCUCACUGGCCCGGUACUGACGCUGAGGUGCGAAAGCGUGGGGAGCAAACA